rnacentral:misc_RNA from 1 species
UGGUGUCGUCCCAUGGGCUAGAGUC